UUUGUUUGUAGUGUUCAGUAAGGCACUGAUGCAGAGUACCUCUCCAUGGUGGUCUGCUGCUUGUGCGGUGUUGCAGCUGCAGAUGUUGUUGGACGUUGCUGGUGAAUACGGCUGUGCUCCUAAGGGUGAGCGUGACUAAGGUGGUAAAACAGUUUGUGGUAUUACCAGUCUUGGUGGGGACGACGGUCUUGCAAUAUUUGCAGACGACAUUGGUCUGACUAUGGUCAGACUUAUAAAAUCC